rnacentral:tRNA from 1 species
GUUUAUAUAGUUUAAUAAAAACUUAGUGCUUUCACAGCUAAAAUAGAAAUAUUUUUCUUAUAAAUA